GCCUUCGUGGUGUAACGGUAGCACACUCGGCAUCUACUCGAGAGGUUCAGGUUCGAGUCCCGGCGAGGGCA
rnacentral:tRNA from 1 species